rnacentral:rRNA from 1 species
AUGCGUCUGAUUAGGUUGUCGGCGGGUAACGGCCCACCGAGCCCGCGAUCAGUAGGGGUUCCUGAGAGGAAGGUCCCCCACAUUGGAACUGAGACACGGUCCAAACUCCUACGGGAGGCAGCAGUGAGGAAUAUUGGUCAAUGGAGGCAACUCUGAACCAGCCAAGUAGCGUGCAGGAUGACGGCCCUAUGGGUUGUAAACUGUCUUUAUGCGGGGAUAAAGUCGGCUACGCGUAGCCGUUGUAGGUACCGCAUGAAUAAGGACCGGCUAAUUCCGUGCC